rnacentral:misc_RNA from 1 species
UCCGUUUUGUCAACGGCAGUCUCAUUAGAGUGCUCUUGCGUAGCAACUAAUGAUAAGGGUUGCGCUCGUUGCGGGACUUAACCCAACAUCUCACGACACGAGCUGACGACAACCAUGCACCACCUGUCUGGAUGUCCAAAAAGGACUUCACCUAUCUCUAGGUUAUGCAUCCGAUGUCAAGACCUGGUAAGGUUCUUCGCGUUGCUUCGAAUUAAACCACAUACUCCACUGCUUGUGCGGGCCCCCGUCAAUUCCUUUGAGUUUCAGCCUUGCGGCCGUACUCCCCAGGUGGAUUACUUAUUGUGUUAACUGCGGCACGGAAGGGGUCAGUCCCCCCACACCUAGUAAUCAUCGUUUACAGCGUGGACUAC